GACGAACGCUGGCGGCGUGCCUAACACAUGCAAGUCGAGCGGAGAAUAUAGCAAUAUAUUCUUAGCGGCGGACGGGUGAGUAACGCGUGGGUAACCUGCCUUUUACAGGGGGAUAACACAGGGAAACUUGUGCUAAUACCGCAUAACAUAUCGAAGUGGCAUCCCUAUGAUAUCAAAGGAGCAAUCCGGUAAAAGAUGGACCCGCGUCCAAUUAGCUAGUUGGUGGUGUAACGGACCACCAAGGCGACGAUUGGUAGCCGAACUGAGAGGUUGAUCGGCCACAUUGGGACUGAGACACGGCCCAGACUCCUACGGGAGGCAGCAGUGGGGAAUAUUGCGCAAUGGGGGAAACCCUGACGCAGCAACGCCGCGUGAAGGAUGAAGGUUUUCGGAUUGUAAAAUUCUUUUACCAGGGACGAUAAUGACGGUACCUGGAGAAAAAGCCCCGGCUAACUUCGUGCCAGCCGCCGCCGUAAUAC
rnacentral:rRNA from 1 species